UGGGGAAGGGGGGCAGGACACACGCAUGCGCGGUGGGCUACGCACGGUCUCUGGAAAAGUUGAUUGUGUAUUAGCUGUUUUCUUUACGUGUAGGUUCACAGCCCAGCUCCCGUUACCUGCCAGUAUGAACCAGGAAUGGAAUGGAUCAAGUUCUCUGCAGUCAAUCAUAACAUCAGGGCAAGAGAUUAUUUCACACCCAGAUAUUUUGGGAACAUUCAUGUGGUUAUUUGACCAGAAAUUCUACUUUUAAAAUUCCUAGAGCCUAGGCUAGUAUUGGAAUAUAUGCAGCCCAGGCAGGCCUUUUGUGGCCAUUCUCUUGCCUCAGCUUCCCAAGUGUUGAAAUUACAGGUUUCCACUUGCCUGACAGAUACCUCCAAGCUUCAGUUGCUGACUACACUGCUUCAGAUGACUAUGUACUUUAGACUUGCUAAAAACUGACAUAUAUCCAGCCCAGCCAAUGUGAUUGUUUCCUGUCUCUACAGCUGGGUCAGAUAGCCACAUGCUUCUGACAGAUGCCCCAUUGCCCAACCUUUGACUAGCCUUUUAACCUUUUUGGGACCCUGGCAACAAUGCCCCAAUGUCAGCUCAAAGCAGCACAAGAAAAAAAAACAUCACAUGAUCCUUGCCCAGAAUAGGCUGAAAUGCUGGGUCAAAAGAAAACUCCCUGGCAUAGGGGACAAAAUGGCUAACUAAAAUGCCCACUGACAUACCAGAAAAAUAGGUUCAGAGUUGUCAAUUGAUAAAUUUAUUAACUAAAAUGGUUCUGCAAUAAGAUAAGACACUUGAACUUUCUUUGUGCAGAACCAAAGAGAUACUAUAUGUCCUUAAAAAUUAUUAUUCAAGAUUAUAAUCUGGCUCUUCUCAAAGAUCAGAACUACAGGGCCUUAAGAAUGGCAAUAGAUACAGAUGUCGCUGACCUAGAAAAAUCAGUUAGCUAAUGGUUCUUAGGUCCCAAUACCCUUGAACCCCUGGGCAGAUAGAACUCAUGAUUAAGUCCUAUCAUUGGUACUUGUGAAUGGGGGAAUGUAGGGAGUCCUAAAACAGCUUGGCCACACAGCUGCCAUGACAGGCUUAGAGGCCCAGACACAGCUUUUGUGACAGGCCUACUGGCAGGCAACAUCUGGAUCCAGAAGAAACCAUGUGCUGACCCCACCCAGGGAGGGCCUGCAUCUAAGGGGAAACACCUGACAUUUCAAACAUUCUCAGCACCCCUAGACAAAUGUCAGCCAAUCAGGGUCCUGAACCCUGGAAAUCCCCUCACCCCAACCUCUGCUAUGAUUAAAAAAAAAAAAAAAAAAAACCUUGCCUGGGCUCGGGACUCUCUGCUCUCACUGCUGCAUUGGACAGAGAGUCUAAGCUCCAAGCUUUAAAUAAAGGCUCUUUUCUUUUAUAUAUGGGAUUCAGUCUCUGUGGUGGUCUUUUGUGCAUCCCUGUGAUCUGGGCAAAAUAACAGUCUAUGUAUUCCUGGCUCUCCUGGAGCUCACUAUAUUCACGAGGCUGGCCUUUUACUCAUAGAGAUCCUCCUGCUUCUGCUAGAAUUAAAGGUGUGCACCACCAUGCUCAGCUUCCACAUUAUCUUUAUGGAUUUAUUAAUGAAUAUUUUGGUUCUUUCCAUACUUGACUUGUGUAAAUAAAUACUCCUGCAAUUAAAAUAGGAAUGCAAAUGUUUCUUCAAGAUCCUGGUUUCAAUGGAUGGCUCUGUAAACUAUUAUACUGUGUAAAAAUAAAUACAUGUUCUCUCUCAUA